CAUUGUAAUGUUAUCCCGUGUUUUGCCUGUCCCUUAUGUUGCUUUUCCUAUUAAACCCCGUGUUUGCCCCGCCUUCUUGCCUCCUGCGCUUAUUCAACGCUUCGUGCGCCGCCAAGCGCGACAGACUCAUUCGUUGAAAGGGGCAUGUUCAAAAUAUUAGCAGCGUGGAAUUUAAUUUAAUUAGAGAAUUAAUUCAUUCUGUGAAAAAAGCAGGUGUCAUUAAUUGUCCUUUACUAAGGAAGAUGGGAAAGAAAUGUUUCACACAUCGUUAUAAAACAUAUUUCCUUUUGAAUAGCACAUGGAAAAAAACGAGCAACUACUGUUAAAAUGGAUCGAAGAAUAGUCAGAAUGGCAAAAAGUCAGCCAACCAUCACCCCCAGAAAGAUCAAAGAUGAUCUAAAAUCACCGGCUUUGCUGGGAUGGCUCUUCAGUCUAUUUCGUAAGUCCAUGGUGUUUUGCAGCAAAAAUUUAAGGUAUGAAGCCUUCUUUGACUGACAGCUUUAUCUACAAGCAAAGCUGUGACAGUUUAUAAGCUUUAUAACAGAAAUUCCUCUGCAGUUUGCUUGCUGUGGAUGAUUCACCUCCCCAAGGGAUUCUCUUGAAGUUCCCUUUUUCACCCCCCUUUCUUUAAUAUGUAACUUGCUGUACAUCCCGUAACGAUGUCGUUAACCUGCUCUAGGCCUCAGGCUGAGUCUGACACAAAUACCGCAAUGUGAGGUCUCUCUCGGUGAAGACAACCAGAUGUCCAUCCAUCCAUCCAUCCAUCCAUCAUCUGCAGCUUAUCCGGGGUCAGGUUGAUUAAAAAAAAUGCAAUUGAAUUACAAUUAAAAAUAUUGGCUACAUUACAUUUUAAAGGGGUUAUAUUCAAAUAUAUUACUUUAGGUAAAAAGAUUAUAUAUAGACUAUAAUAUUGAUUUUGUUACUUUCCAUUUUGUCACCAUGCAGAAAUGCCGCCUUUUGGCAUAAUUCCAGACAACGCAGGUCAGCAAAGUCAUUGGGACCUUUCAGCUUUAUUGGCCAGUCGAAAACAUAUGUUAGAAAAGUAAUUAAAAACUAUGAUGGAGUAAUGAAAAUAGUUACUUAUUACAUUUUUAGCUGGGUAACUAGUGUUCUGUAACAUUACUUUUUAAAAGUAACCUUCCCAAAACAAAAAAAAUUUAAAACACGCACACAUGUAUGUGUGUCAGUAUGUAUAUUACCUGUACACACUCGGGAGAAAUGGUCUUAA